GAAAGUUUUAAAAAGAUUUGAAUUUUCAAAUGUGCCCGUCAGUAUCUUUUUACAUUCUGAUUUCUAAAAUAACCUGCUUUUACUGUAGAAUGAGAACCCAACUCCUUUUAAAGUUGUAUGGCAGAGUCAUCUCGCAUCAAAGUGAUACUUUGACCAUGUGAAGAAACCAGUAUUGCAACUCUUCUGCUUGUUGCAUUCAUGCAAGAAUGGUGCCUCUGUAGAACUAUCCUCACAACUAUGAAGGCCCUGCCCAUAACUGUGAAGGCCCAGCUCAUAACUGUGAAGGCCCGGCUCAUAACUGUAAAGACCCUGCCCAUAACCAUGAAAUCCCUGUUCAUAACUGUGAAGGCCCUGCUCAUAACUGUAAAGACCCAUAACUGUGAAGGCCAUGCUCAUAACUAUGAAGGCCAUGCUCAUAACUGUGAAGGCCAUGCUCAUAAAGUGUGACGGCCCUGCCCAUAACUGUGAAGGCCCUGCUCAUAACUGUAAAGACCCUGCUCAUAACUGUGAAGGCCCUACUCAUAACUGUAAAGACCCUGCUCAUAACUGUGAAGGCCCUACUCAUAACUGUAAAGGCCUUGCUCAUGAUACUGUGGCAAGAUGAUGUGUGAACAAAUAAGUAGUCCCUCUAUUGCCAAAAUUAUUAUUAGGCGAUUGCCUGUGAUUUGAGAGGUCUAUGGGUCUCGUCGACAUGUCAUUGUGAAAUGCCACUGCCAUGAUGACAUAGAAAUGUAUAAUAGAAUGGCAGGUUUGUUACCAACCAAGUAACAGCCUGUACAGACUGAUGACCAAUUUGCGAUUAUAACGUUGGCUCAUAAUUAACAGGUGUGGGAGAGUCUGAUGCGUUUCACCAGUACAUAUGCGCAGGAGUAAAUGCAUUCUCUGGCCUGCAACCACGAUUUUCCUCACAGGUGCCUGAACUACCACAAGGAGUCACUAAAGAGCAACGAGACAAGGUAGUCCUGUCAUACACCACCCGCCCUCCCAGGACCUCCAAGGUAGACCUGUCUGACACCACCCGCCCUCCAAGGUAGUCCUGUCUGACACCACCCGCCCUCCAAGGUAGUCCUGUCCAACACCACCCGACCUCCCAGGACCUCCAAGGUAGUCCUGUCAUACACCACCCGACCUCCAAGGUAGCCCUGUCAUACACCACCCGACCUCCCAGGACCUCCAAGGUAGUCCUAUCAUACACCACCCGACCUCCCAGGACCUCCAAGGUAGUCCUGUCAUACACCACCCGACCUCCAAGGUAGCCCUGUCAUACACCACCCGACCUCCCAGGACCUCCAAGGUAGUCCUAUCAUACACCACCCGACCUCCCAGGACCUCCAAGGUAGUCCUGUCAUACACCACCCGACCUCCAAGGUAGUCCUGUCAUACACCACCCGACCUCCCAGGACCUCCAAGGUAGUCCUGUCCAACACCACCCGACCUCCCAGGACCUCCAAGGUAGUCCUGUCAUACACCACCCGACCUCCAAGGUAGUCCUGUCAUACACCACCCGACCUCCCAGGACCUCCAAGGUAGUCCUGUCCAACACCACCCGACC
ensembl:lncRNA